AGAGUUUGAUCCUGGCUCAGAACGAACGUUGGCGGCGUGGAUUAGGCAUGCAAGUCGAACGAAUCCCGGGUUGGUAGCAAUACCGAGCCGGGGGAAGUGGCGAAAGGGGCAGUAAGGCGUGGGUAACCUACCCCGGGGACCGGGAUAGCCAUUCUAACGAGUGGGUAAUACCGGGCGAUCUGGCGAGGGGGCAUCUCCUUGCCAGGAAAUGAAUCUCGCCUCGGGAGGGGCUCACGUGCUAUUAGCUAGACGGCGGGGUAACGGCCCACCGUGGCAAAGAUGGCUAGCGGGUGUGAGAGCACGACCCGCGCCACUGGCACUGAGACACUGGCCAGACACCUACGGGUGGCUGCAGUCGAGGAUCUUCGGCAAUGGGCGCAAGCCUGACCGAGCGACGCCGCGUGCGCGAUGAAGGCCUUCGGGUUGUAAAGCGCUGUCGAGGGGGAGGAAGCUCCGCAAGGGGUUGACCUAUCCCUGGAGGAAGGACGGGCUAAGUUCGUGCCAGCAGCCGCGGUAAGACGAACCGUCCUAACGUUGUUCGGAUUCACUGGGCUUAAAGGGCGCGUAGGCGGACUGGUAAGUCCGGGGUGAAAUCUUUCGGCUCAACCGGAAAAGUGCCUUGGAAACUGCCAGUCUCGAGGGGGGUAGGGGCCUGUGGAACUUCGGGUGGAGCGGUGAAAUGCGUUGAUAUCCGAAGGAACGCCGGUGGCGAAAGCGACGGGCUGGACCCCUUCUGACGCUGAGGGCGCGAAAGCCAAGGGGAACAAACGGGGAUUAGAUACCCCGUUAGUCC
rnacentral:rRNA from 1 species